AAGUCGUGAUAUUAUGAAUGAACUGAGUACUUCAUUAUAAAAUUAUCCCGAUUUGGAGAGAAAUGAGAAAUUUUCCAACUGAGUUUCGAAACAAACCAGUAUGUAUAAGAUGAGAAAAGUAGGUCAACUGAAUAGCAUGAAUGGAUUUUACAGCUUUGAAAGUGACGGAAUUUGAAGAGAUUUUGUGAUGGUUUCGGAAAAGGCAAUAAAAUUGGAUAAAACUGAAAUACCGGGCCUGAAAGUUAUUAUUUCGUCAAAAUAAUUGCCCAAAAGCCACAGACGUAUAUUUUCAUGGGAAGAUCAUUUCUGUUUAUUCUGUCAUAAAAUUUUCACUGAACAGGAUGAAUAACCAUUCCGUCAAACUUCAUUUUACUCUUCUAUCGAGAUUAAUAAUUGGCAGUAAACCCUUAGUGACUUU